rnacentral:rRNA from 1 species
GACGAACGCUGGCGGCGUGCCUAAUACAUGCAAGUAGAACGCUGAAGAGAGGAGCUUGCUCUUCUUGGAUGAGUUGCGAACGGGUGAGUAACGCGUAGGUAACCUGCCUUGUAGCGGGGGAUAACUCUUGGAAACGAUAGCUAAUACCGCAUAACAAUGGAUGACUCAUGUCAUUUAUUUGAAAGGGGCAAAUGCUCAACUCAAAGAUGGACCUGCGUUGUAUUAGCUAGUAGGUGAGGUAACGGCUCACCUAGGCGACGAUACAUAGCCGACCUGAGAGGGUGAUCGGCCACACUGGGACUGAGACACGGCCCAGACUCCUACGGGAGGCAGCAGUAGGGAAUCUUCGGCAAUGGGGGCAACCCUGACCGAGCAACGCCGCGUGAGUGAAGAAGGUUUUCGGAUCGUAAAGCUCUGUUGUAAGUCAAGAACGAGUGUGAGAGUGGAAAGUUCACACUGUGACGGUAGCUUACCAGAAAGGGACGGCUAACUACGUGCCAGCCGCCGCGGUAA